rnacentral:rRNA from 1 species
AAGCGUUUAUGACCAGACUUGGGCUUGGUUGAUCAUCUGGGGUUCUCUCCAGUGCACUUUUCCAGUCCAGGCCAGCAUCAGUUUUCGCCGGGGGAUAAAGGCUUCGGGAAUGUGGCUCCCCUCGGGGAGUGUUAUAGCCC